AGUUUGACUCCCCGAAACUAAGCGAGCUACUCCAAAGCAACUCACAGAACCAACCCGUCCCUGUAGCAAAAGGGUGGGAAGACUUUAGAGUAGAAGUGACACACCUACCGAGCUUAGAGAUAGCUGGUUAUUCAGGAAAAGGAUUUUAGUCCAUCUCUAAGUCUUCCAAGUACCAUUAAACACCUAAUAGACUUAGAAGUUAUUCAAAUAGGGGACAGCCUAUUUGAAAUAGAACACAACCUAUAAUCUUGGGUAACGACNNNNNNNNNAGUGACCAAGUCAGCCUAAAAGCAGCUAGCUUUCAGAAAGCGUCCAAGCUUCACCACAAACCUUUAUUAAUUCCACAAUUAACCCGUAACCCACAACCACCACUGAAUAAUCCCAUACUCUAUGAGAAAUAUUAUGCUAGAACUAGUAACAAGAAGAAGAACUUCUCCAAAAUGUAAGCGUAAGCCAAAAUGAACACUCACCGGCACUUACCGCCACAAACCUGUAGUAUCAACAUUACAAGAAAACAAUACUUCAACUGACGUUAACC
rnacentral:rRNA from 1 species